rnacentral:rRNA from 1 species
GACGUAGGAGGCGAGCGUUAUCCGGAUUCACUGGGCGUAAAGCGCACGUAGGCGGCCUCUUAAGUCGGUGGUGAAAUCCUGGAGCUCAACUCCAGAACUGCCUUCGAUACUGGGAGUCUCGAGUCCGGGAGAGGUGAGUGGAACUGCGAGUGUAGAGGUGAAAUUCGUAGAUAUUCGCAAGAACACCAGUGGCGAAGGCGGCUCACUGGCCCGGUACUGACGCUCAUGUGCGAAAGCGUGGGGAGCAAACAGG